rnacentral:rRNA from 1 species
CCCGGGCGGCGUCUUACCAUGCAGUCGAACGCUGAAGCACCAGCUUGCUGGUGUGGAUGAGUGGCGAACGGGUGAGUAAUACGUGAGUAACCUGCCCUUGACUCUGGGAUAAGCCCGGGAAACUGGGUCUAAUACUGGAUGCUACAUGUCACCGCAUGGUGGUGUGUGGAAAGGGUUUACUGGUCUUGGAUGGGCUCACGGCCUAUCAGCUUGUUGGUGAGGUAAUGGCUCACCAAGGCGACGACGGGUAGCCGGCCUGAGAGGGUGACCGGCCACACUGGGACUGAGACACGGCCCAGACUCCUACGGGAGGCAGCAGUGGGGAAUAUUGCACAAUGGGCGAAAGCCUGAUGCAGCGACGCCGCGUGAGGGAUGACGGCCUUCGGGUUGUAAACCUCUUUCAGCAGGGAAGAAGCCACAAGUGACGGUACCUGCAGAAGAAGCGCCGGCUAACUACGUGCCAGCAGCCGCGGUAAUACGUAGGGCGCAAGCGUUGUCCGGAAUUAUUGGGCGUAAAGAGCUCGUAGGCGGUUUGUCGCGUCUGCUGUGAAAGCCCGGGGCUUAACCCCGGGUGUGCAGUGGGUACGGGCAGACUAGAGUGCAGUAGGGGAGACUGGAAUUCCUGGUGUAGCGGUGGAAUGCGCAGAUAUCAGGAGGAACACCGAUGGCGAAGGCAGGUCUCUGGGCUGUUACUGACGCUGAGGAGCGAAAGCAUGGGGAGCGAACAGGAUUAGAUACCCUGGUAGUCCAUGCCGUAAACGUUGGGCACUAGGUGUGGGGGACAUUCCACGUUUUCCGCGCCGUAGCUAACGCAUUAAGUGCCCCGCCUGGGGAGUACGGCCGCAAGGCUAAAACUCAAAGGAAUUGACGGGGGCCCGCACAAGCGGCGGAGCAUGCGGAUUAAUUCGAUGCAACGCGAAGAACCUUACCAAGGCUUGACAUAUACCGGAUCGUUCCAGAGAUGGUUCUUCCCCUUUGGGGUCGGUAUACAGGUGGUGCAUGGUUGUCGUCAGCUCGUGUCGUGAGAUGUUGGGUUAAGUCCCGCAACGAGCGCAACCCUCGUUCCAUGUUGCCAGCACGUGAUGGUGGGGA